GACGAACGCUGGCGGCGUGCCUAAUACAUGCAAGUAGAACGCUGAAGGAGGAGCUUGCUUCUCUGGAUGAGUUGCGAACGGGUGAGUAACGCGUAGGUAACCUGCCUGGUAGCGGGGGAUAACUAUUGGAAACGAUAGCUAAUACCGCAUAAUAGUAGAUGUUGCAUGACAUUUGCUUAAAAGGUGCAAUUGCAUCACUACCAGAUGGACCUGCGUUGUAUUAGCUAGUUGGUGGGGUAACGGCUCACCAAGGCGACGAUACAUAGCCGACCUGAGAGGGUGAUCGGCCACACUGGGACUGAGACACGGCCCAGACUCCUACGGGAGGCAGCAGUAGGGAAUCUUCGGCAAUGGACGGAAGUCUGACCGAGCAACGCCGCGUGAGUGAAGAAGGGUUUCGGAUCGUAAAGCUCGGUUGUAAGAGAAGAACGAGUGUGAGAGUGGAAAGUUCACACUGUGACGGUAGCUUAACAGAAAGGGACGGCUAACUACGUG
rnacentral:rRNA from 1 species